CGGGGUGUAGCGCAGCUUGGUAGCGCGCUUCGUUCGGGACGAAGAGGCCGGAGGUUCAAAUCCUCUCACCCCGACCA
rnacentral:tRNA from 1 species